CCUUUCAGUUUCUUCCUUUCAUUUUUGUUACGUACAGAGAUGUUUUCAUACAACAAGAGAAGCAAUCAUACCAUCUUGGAACAAAUCAAGGCUUUGGUGCCUCUGCCACCGGAGCCGGCGUCGUUGUUUCCGGUUCCUUCACCGGAGUUUCAACAACCGCCGGAGCCGGAGCCGGAGCAGCUUCUUCUUCCUUUUUCACUUCUUCCACAGGCUUCUUCUCCUCCUCCUUCUCUACCUCCGGUUUCUUUUCCUCCACGACCGCGGUUGUAACGGUCUCUUCUUUCUUGGGCUUUUCAACAAUCUCCUUCUCUUUCUCACCACUUGUUUCUUCGGUUUUGGCUGGUUCUUCGGUUUUGGCUGGCUCUUCCGUUUUGGCUGGUUCUUCGGUUUUGGCUGUCUCCACCGGUACUUCUCGUGUCUUUACCUCCUCAGGAAGGAACACACAUACCUUCUCGAAUAUGAAUGUUAUUGGUCCUGCGACAUAGCCAGCUCCAAAGCUAGAUGAAGCGUCUUUCACAGCCGUUGAUCCGGGGAAUUCUGAAUUUACAUUUCAUUAAACACAAAGAUAAGUAAAUUCACUACUUUCAUCUAAUGAAAUCUAGGAAGAAGAAAAGUGAUCCAAUUAAUGAAAAAAUUUGUUUCUAAUAAUAUGAUGAGGCUUGACCUAAGGUUUUCGAAUUAGUGAAAUAUGACGAGACAUACGACGACUAGUAGUUCAAUAUAAUAGAAAAAUGUAAUAAUAUGUUAUCUCAAUAAUUUAUUAAAGAUGUUCACAACUAUGAGAUAUACAUAACUUAAUUAAUAUAUAUCUUUGAUUCCACGAUAAGAAAAAAUAUGUGAUCUAAACUCGAGAUAUAGAUGCGUAUAUAAGAAUAUAAGACACGAUAGGAAUCCAAAGUUUCUGCCAGCAAAUAUUUGAGGAAAAGUCAAUAACUAUAUAUAGAAGACCAAACAGAUAAGUUCGUAUAAGACAAGCCAAUUUGUAGUUGUUUUUUUUUUUUUUUUGAGCAAAAGACAAGCAAAUAUUGUUGUCGGGGUAUUUAUAAUAGGCACAUGACUAAGUGUAAUUGAAUCGUUACCAAUAUUGACAAGCGCCUCGAGAUACUUCUGCACAGCCGCUGAGUUUUUCUUCAAACCAGCCUCCUUAGGGUCUCUCACCAAAGCCUGCCCAUUUUAAUUUUAAUCUUAAUACCAAUGUUACAUAAAAAUAUGGAUUUGGAUAAUGAUUGAAAUAACCAUUAAAUUAGAGAAUUAAAGAAAAUGAAGAUACUGACCUUGACUUCAGCAGACGUGGCCUCAUAGGUUUCCACGACCUUUGGUUGGAGUUCUGUCUUUUUCUCCUCAAUCUCCUUGUUGAUUGCUUCCUAUUAUACGUAUCAUACGUGCCCAUUUUAGCAAACACAGAAAAUCAAUUUUCUUAAUAAAUAACACUAGUAUAUAAUAACUAUAUAUUGCUUGAGUGGAUAAUUAUUGUAGGACAAAAAAACCGAAGUGCUAAAGUCCAAAUGAUUCGUGCUUAUUGUCAAUAUUUUUAUUUUUUUCAGGAAUCAAACAAAAACUAUUAAAUAAACAUCUACUAGCUAGACGCCGAGAAAAACACCUACUAUACAGCAAAUUAACUUCUAUGUUUACAUAGUAAUAUAUUUUUAUGAUCAAAUAAUGUUGAGUGAUGGGAUGAUAAUCACAUAAUUAACAGAUUUUUAAGAUUUUUUUUUUCAAGAAUGGGAUUUGAAAGGUUUAUUAAGUUAGGUUAGUAAUAAUCUUUACCUUAGACUCAUCAAAGGUCUUGCAAGCUUCAGCAGCAGCAGCUUUCUUGGUACUAUUUUUCUCGAAUAUCUUCUUGAACUUUGGAACAACCUUCGAAUUCCAGUAACCCAUCUUUUUGUUAUUUAAUUUUAAUUAACCUUCUCAACUCGAACGAUUUCUGUCAAAGAAAUAGAAAGAAAAUAAAUCAAUGUUAUACACAUAUUCUUUUGUAACAGACUGAAAACUCAAAACUUAUCUAAUAAUUCGCCCACGUUACUUAUCUGUCAUGUAUGUGUGUAAAGCACAUAUCUACUGGAGGGAAAAAACAAAAGUACAUAUCUAAUGUUAUACAAAACGACAAAAACCAAGAACCCAAAAAAAAAAUUGUGUUUGUUGUAACAGUGUUUCUUCAAUCAAAAAUCUAAACUAAUCCUUUUAUGGUAAUAAUACUUUUGAAUAUUGAUGAUACACCUUAUCUAAACCAUGAGACUAUAGUAAUUACCUUGGAAAAAAAGUUAACGUUGGUUUUACUCAAUCAUACUUUUUAGAUCGAAACCUAAACUAAUCAGGCAAAAAGAGUUUCACCAUGAAAGACAAACUCCUCAAAUUUCUACGUAUAACAGCUGAGAACAAAAAAUGAAUUAUGUAUAUUGUAUAUAACUACAUAUUCUGUCUCUAUAUAAAAAUGGUUACUAACUAACUCUAAUUCUCUAUAAGAAAAAUCAGGAAAAUAUCGAACAAAGCCCUAGCAAGUUCGUGCGUUCGUUGAGAUGAACUGAACAAUCGUAUUUUAUCACAGACCUAAAGGAUAUAAACGAAAACAUAUUUGUGAUUUGAUUUGUUUACAAUCAUGAGUUUGAUAAAGAGACUUACUUGAGAUGAUAAAUCUCUUUGGAGAUCUUCUUCGUCUCGAUCUGUUCUUCUUCUUCUUCUGAAACACAAGAAACUGAUUAAUUUGUCUCUCUGAAUUUAAGAAACCUUUUCGUGUCAUAUAGAUAGGUUUCUCUUCAAACCACCCCUUGUUUUCUUUCCUAAUUACGGUUAUUGCCCCUCCCUCUUUUCUCGUUUUACCCCUCUUGCCUCGUUGGCGUCAGAACCGUUUCUGUUAAUCUGUUCGCGGAGAAAUUUCGGUUAUUGCCAUCUCAGUCAAUCAAACAGUAAACCGGGAAAAUAUAGUUUUUAACAUAUCAUCAAUCCAUGGUUUAAUUGGAGUGGUAAACAUAAAACCGGGAAAAACACAAUACUUGGCUAUAAACUGGUUUUGGUUUCAGUUCGGGCCGGAAAAGGGUCAAAGACAGCAAGUACACAAGUCAUAAAAUGGAAAAACGGUCAAACAGAAGACAACGAGGAGAAGAAGGGGUAGAUACGUAAUUUCGGAGGAAAAUUUGCCAGCUGGCGGUCACAUCAAUCAGAGUUGGCAAAUAUCGAAGUAGGACCCGCACCAAUCGGAUUGAUAUUAAUUCUUGGAUGGUGAUCUGUAGGUGUAACACAUACGCCUCUUAUCUCCAUAUAUUCAACAUUUUCAUAUUAUAAUGUAUGUUAUUCUGUUUAACCCAUAAAAACGUAGUAUAUUAUUCUGUUUAAUUAUUUCAUUGAUGUUAUAUAUGUGAUACUUUGAGUUUGAGUUGGAUUACGAUUACCCUCAAAAUCAAAAUCUUUAAGAAAAAAAAGAUUAGACUUAAAAUUUGUUUGAUAUUAUAUUGGAAUAUAAUAAGUCGUCUACUAUUAUUCGGUUAAUAAAAAGUUAAGGUGGUAUUUGAUUCAACUGAACCAAAACCAUGUUGAAACCAUAAUAUAUCUCUUUAUUAUUCGAGUGAUUGUGUGUUUAUACUUAUUGUUUUAAUAAUUUGAAAAAUCGCUUGAAGACAAUGUCUUUUAUGAACCAGACUCUUAAUGAAUGAUAUAUUUGUUGUAAAACCAUGCUUCGACAUAUAUCAAUUAAUUCGUAUCAAACUAAAACGUAUUAGAUUGGAUAUUUAUAUUCUUCUAUCAGAACCAUGUUGAUGACCUAGAAAAAAAUUUCUAUUUAAAGGGUUUUUUAGGGUGUAUUUUUCUAUAUUUGGACUCUUUUAGAUUAAUCAAAAGAUAAAAGUUGACAAAACAAAUCCGAAUUCAUAGAAGAUACAUCUUUUUGAUGAAUGACACCCUUUUCGUAAACCUAUAACUAAGUGCUAAGCUCAAACCUUGAUCGAUAUUAUUCUUAUUCUUUCUUUUAAUAUAUGUAAGCAUUGUUACUUGAAAUUUUAAAUAAACUAAAAAUAAAUAAACAGAAAAUUAUUAUUUCUUCAAAGGUUCAUAUUCUUCUAAUGAAAGUUUUUAUAAUUGUAAAACAAAAUUUUUGAAUCAAAUUCGCUUAAAAACUAAAAAAAUGAAUAAACAUAAAAGUGAAAAAACUGAUUUGAUAUUCUAAAACUAUGGGGGUUUUAUUUUUGUUUCAGGAACCGGAUGAACAAAUAAUCAAACUUACUGAUAAAGAAAAGAAAAAUAAUUCACAUGGCCUAUCUGUUUGAUAGAUAUUAGGCUGUCUAAAAACCAAAAACUAAAAUUAAUUAAAAUGAUUGUAAAUAAUUAAUUUUAGUACAAGACAGACAUCCCACCCCCAGUAUCUAUAACAAGCUAUGAAAUCUCCAACACAAAGAGAACUUUGUUUACACUCCUAAUCCUGAUUCAAUUAAUUUGAUUUGAAUAAGCAAAAAAAAAAAUGAACAUCAAUGGUUCACGAAAUUAUAUUAUUUUCGAUGAUAUUUUAUAGUGCUCUACCCAUCAAAUUACUAUUUUUGAAUCAGGAAGUGAUUCACUAAUCUUAUAGUUAAUUUAAUAAUAUUUGUAUAAAUUUAAGAAGACCCAUUUUUCUUAGUAAGAAACAACGACUAUUUUACAUGAUUUUGUACGUGUUGAUGGUUUUAAGAAUACAAAAUUAUGAGGUUUUUGAAAUGGUAAUAUAAUGUCGCCAGGAUGACAGUAUAAAUGCACAUGGGUUGCCUUCAUUAUCUGUUGUCUUCGUUGAUCGAAACAAUGGACAACCAUCCAUUGUGAAAGAUCCUAUGAUAUAUCAUUUAUUUCAUCAUAUUUUUCACAUAUAUCCCACACACAUCUAUAACACAUAGUCACAUACAUAGACAUAAAUAUACACAUAUGUGCAUGUGUCUAAUGUUUUCUUCAUCUACAUUUACUUAUAAAUAUUUACUCGAGUGUGACAAUGUGUCUAAGUUUCUGUUAUAAUAAACGAGAUGUGUGCAUAUUUCUUGGUUUUAAUUACAAUUUUUUUUUGAUAUUUUAAAGAGAAUCGUAUAACACACUUAUGCUAAAGUUAAUAAAUAUUAAUUAAUAUUUAUGACUAUUUCCUUAUUUUUAUAAUUAAAUAUAUAUAUAUAUAUAUAUAUAUAUAAACAACUAUGUUUUUUAAAGAAAAAUUAUUUUCAAUUUAAAUAGGAAAACAAUAUUAUAUAUAUAUAUAAUGGUGUUGUUUAAAGAAAAAAAUAUCUCCAAUUUAAAUAGCAAAACAACAUUUUUUAGUGAUAUAUAGAACUAGAAGAAUAAGCUAUACAAUAACAUUUAUUGUUAAGUCAGAAGAAACUAUACUUUUACGUGUAAAACUCUCAAUAUGCAGAACAUAUACUUUUUUAAGCCAUCAAUCGUUAGUUAUAUACUAUAUAUACUCCAGUAACAUCAUUCAGACUUGAUUAACAUCGAUCUGUAGAUUCGAUUGAUCUUAAUUCUUCUUGAAUAUAUCCAUUCCAUGAGUCAUUCCGAGAAUAUACCUCAUGAAUCUUCUUACCUGUCCACGUCGCCCUUCUUUGUGCAAUACGAUCAUCUUUUUGCGCAUAGACCGCUUCAUGUUUACCUGAUGUAUCAACUUCAAUUCGUCUAUCCACAUGUUCAACAUCUUCAUGCUCUUUCACUAUUUCUGAUUUUAAUGAUCAUACAAUAUACCAUUUGUCUUACUGUGCUUGAGGAUAUCAAUUUUACGUUCGAAGUUUCAAGUAGUGUAAGAUUAAGACGAAACAUAUAUUACCCGGUCUAGUGUGUUUUUACAUUCUCUUGGAACACUUCUGUUCUGUCCAAUUUAUCUUUUUUUUUUAAUAUAAAUUUAAUUUUUUGUCGUCUGAAAUAGUAUUUAAGAAAUGUUAAUUUUAUUUAAUACUAUAAUAUAAAUGAUAAUAUCAAUCAAACCGAACAAAAUUAAUUUCAUGGACCAUGUGGAAUCACGACAAACAUCUCUUCCACGAAGAAUUCUACAACAAACAAUUUUAUCAGCACGCCAAGGAUCCAUAAUGGAUAGGUUCACCUGCAUCACACUCGAGAGAGACUAUGUGUGUAACGAACGAUUCUAUCUGCAUCAUGUAGAGAUUUUAUGUAAGUUUGCGUGCAAUAUUUUGCCUUAUUUUGUAUUCUUGUGGAGUCAAAAUAUUAGUAAAUUCUUGAUCAAUCACUGAAUCAAGGGGAAAUUCACGAAUAAAAAAUCCGGUUUAAGAACAAUAAAUGAAUCCAUACGUUAGUUUUUUUUAAACUCUGUAUAAAAUGAAUUGAGAUGGGAAAAACCCAAAGUAGCAAACACAAAGUCCACCAACAGGCGAUUCAAUUGAAGGCCUUAAUUACAUUUUGGCCAAACAAAACGAGAGAGAAGAUAGCAAGUCCAAUAGGACUGCAAAAGGAAUAGACUUGCAUUAAAUAAAGUCUGGCUUUUGCAACCAAUAUGUGCAUGGACUCUAUCCAUAUAUUAGCUUAUUUCAAUGUCAAUUGCUAUUUUGAGUGGGUUUUUCUAAGAAAAUAAUUGGGCUACUUUUGCCACCUUUUUUUCAUCUUAGCCGAAAUAUAUGUCCAAAAUAAUAAACAAAUAUCAAAAAUCAAAAAUUGGUAAUACAAUUUUAAUAUUUUACACAAAAAAACAAACUAGGUAUGUGAAUAAAUGUUAUGGUUUAAAUUUUUGCAUGAUUAAAUUAUGAGAUGUUAAACUAAGGAUUUUUGAGAAAAAUCCCAAAACUUUUUUUUGUAGUUUUAAAUAUCAUCUUCUAUUUUUUACUUGUUAUAUAACAAGAAAUAUUUACUUCUUCCAUAACAAUAUAUAUAGAUAUAUAUAUAGACAUAUUUAUAUGUAAAUGUUAAGAUGAUUUAGAAGAUUUAAUUUGAUAUGUAAAAUAUACGUGAGAUAAUCCUAAAUCAUUUUUAUAUUUAAAAUACAAUUAACUUAUAUUUUCUAAAAAAUAAUUAAGAUAAAUAAUAAUAUUAAUAUUUACACCCCGUUUAGAAAACACACGUGCUAAUUUAGUUGGUCUCUACCUGACCGACCAAAAAGUAUGAUCCAUUUUUAUGAAUUUCAUUGAGAGUGGUUCGUUUGAAAAUGGCCAAAUGAUAUCCUCAAUAUUCAUUUUGAAGUUAACAUUUGUUUUUGGCAAGCGGGGAAAUUUCAAGGUAAAGCCCAUAUUAAUUUCUCUGGUUUUGUUGCCCCCUAAAAAUAUAUACCGGGGAAAUUUCAAGGUAAAGCCCAUAUUAAUUUCUCUGGUUUUGUUGCCCCCUAAAAAUAUAUACCGAUGUGUUAGGGCAUGAUUAUUGCAGGUACCUGUUAAGGGUACUCGUGAAUUUUAGACCCAAAAGAAAAAUAAAAAACCAAAAAAACAAGCAUCGAUUUUUCUUUUAGUACUUCAAGUAUCGAUACUUGAUGGUUGCUUAAGACAGGUGUCCACUUGUGAUUGACAGAAAAAUGAUGGGUUUUUUUUUCCUGAGCUUUUUUUUUCCCUAAGCUUAUUUUUUCUCUGAGUUUUUUUUCAAGUACCCCAUUUUAAGAUUCUUGCAAUAAACUUAUUUUUGUGUAAAAUUCUUAUUCAAAGUUUUUAUUUUAAAUUUAAUAAUAAAUUAAUCAGUAAGAUCAUAUCCAUUAGUAAACCCUUCUUAGAGGUUCAUCAGCUUAUAAUACUAUUUUUUUUUGGUUUUAAGUUUAGAGAAGAACCUGUGGUUUUUUGAGGUUCCAUUAGUGAAUCCCAAAAUGGAGUUCAACAUAAAUAAAUAAAAAAUUAGAAAAUUUAAUUUUAGUAAUAAAAUUUAUUUGUAUUUGUAACCAAAUUUUGUUUUUUUGUAUCUAAAACUCUCGACAUAUCUUCACACUAAAGUUUCUCUCUUCCUUAAAUCACAACAUUUUUCUUUCAGCAAAGAGAUAACUACAACAUUUCCUUGAUGAAAUCAAAACUAAGUGUGUCCUUGACAAUGAGAAACAAUCCAAGGAAUAUCACAAGCAUGAUACCUGAAGACAUUAUCCUUUGUUCCACCUCUACAGAAAGCUUCCUUCCUCCUCUAACCGCUUCCAAUAAUAUCAACGCCAAGUCCCACCGAUGUCAAAAAGUCUGAUACCUUAGGUAAUGCGGCAUGGUAGAAAUGGUUAUAUACCUGCAGAAACUGAAACAAUGGGCAUACAUACGUUUAGCGACAGUAAGUCAUUGUUUAUGUGUGUGUUAACAAUUGAUUUGGUUUAGAAGAGCAUUUUUUACAAACCUCUCUGCUUGGAGAUUUCAGGUUCGUUGAAAUCCUUAGAUUAACAGCCUACAAACAUAGAAACCUCUUUAGGCUACAAUGCACAAACAAAAUAUGGUAAUAAAGGAUGAUGCUAAAGAAUCAAGGGAAGAGAGAAACCUCGAGAGCUUUACAGAUAUUCUCAAGUUCUGGCCUAUAAUUCAUCUUCUGAGUUGUUGUGACAAUCUCAACAACACCCAAACAAGUACCACUACCUCUUUCAAACACAGGAAGGGCUAUUUUUUAUUUUCAUGAUAUAUUCCUUUUGAACUUGCACAAAAACGAAUCAGCACGCAGCUAAAUAAAAAAAGAGGAAGAUACUAACUUGAACCAACUGCAGCGCUGGAGAAACUCAUAUUGGAAGAACAAGCACUUGGUUGAAGAAUAUAACAAAAAGAAUGAUCCUGCAGGGAAACGAAUACAUCAGUCAUUAACACCAUAUCAGUCAUUGAAACUUUGGAUCCUGAAAACCAUUUCCACGCCUAAUCAGAGAUAAGCAAAGCAUAAACUCAUCGAAGAGGAGAACUAAAGCAAACUCAAUACUCUCCUUACACCUUAAUCAAAGCGCUACUGAAUCUAAUUGAUUUCACCACAUCAUGAGUUAAUUUCUGAAGAUCAUCUUCUUCUACAAACAAGUAUCUAAUUAUUCGAAAUUCAAACCCGUUGGCACAAAGGUCGUCGUAGAGCUUCAUGUGAGCAUUAGGGAGCUGAGAUUGUUGGAGACGACGGCGGCGGAGAUCCUCGACUCGCGGCGGAAGGGAGGAGUAGCUGAGCGGGAAAAUCAUCGGCGAUUCGACUCCUAAAUCGAGCUUAUCUGGAGUUUUAUUAGCCGCGGUCAGAUCGAAAAAUAUACAGAGGAUGAUGAGGAGCGAAGCUCGAUCCAUGGAUGGUGGAUUAAGGAGAUCACUCGAUUUAAUUGAAGAACGCCGGUGGCAACGGAGAAGAUAUGGCGGAGUUAAAACUCCACCGUGGCUCGAUCCUUGGAUCCUUCGUCGUGGAAGGAACAACGAGAAAAUGAGAAGAGAGAGAAAGGGAAAAUUGAGAAGAGAGAGAAACGAAAAAUCACGCUAUUUUUUCGUCCAAUUCGCUUCUGCCACGUGGUUCGAAUACGAGUUCGUCAGGGUCGAUGGGAAGGAUCGGUUCAUCAGAAUUAAGCAUUUUUUCUUUUUUUUUAAAAUACAAUGUACCUAUGAACCUGUGCCAAAAACUUGACGACCCCCUUGAUGGACCUGCUCUUAAGUACCUCUUAGAAGUGCUUGCAAUAAACAUGGUCUUAAGAAUGAUUGACAAAAUUAAUACAUGAUAUAUUACCACUAACAUAGAAAAGGUUGAUGGUUACCAUUUGUUUGAUGAAUUACGUUUGUAAUAUACUAAUACUAAUCCAGAAGACACUAAAAAGGGAGUAAGCGGGCGUCUGAUUUUCUAAAUCACAACCUACUUACAAUACUACUUAUACAAGGCAUAUACAAGUUUGUAACAAACAUAACUACAGAGCGUUUGCGAGUCUGCGGCGGAUGAACGAAUGAAAGAAAACAAUGAUCCAUCGUCUAACCAUAUAUUAACAUUAAGGGAUUCAGUCAAUAAAUUAUUUGUCACAAAUAGCAACAAAGUGGCUAGGAUAAUUUUGCAGCCACAUUCAAAAGAACGCUUACCCUAACAGUGGCGACGAACUGACUACGGAUUUUUCACAAUUAAUGUCAUGUCCUAUCAGUCAUUUGAGUCGCCUAUAACUAGUGAAAUUAUGACGAUAUAUGUUGCCAUUAGUCACAACUCGGUCACGAAUAGCUACUGUUGUAAAAUUGGUGGUCUUACUGAAACGUUUGUUUGGUUCUAGAAUAAAGUUCGGGUCAGCCUUAUUCGAACUAAAGGCUUCUCAAACAAAACCGUUGCAGUUUGUGGCAAAAAUACCUUAUAUUCGUGCAUGCAUGACAUAUAUUCCUUUCAUUUGUUCAUGUCACCGUAUAUUACGUCCCUUUUUGGUUGUGUGGUCAGAAGUGCAUUUGUUUUUAUUGGGAUGUGGGUGCUAAUUUUGUUUUAAUUAAAAAACCACGACUUUAUGAGCUUUUAGCCCGAGGCUGGUAAGUAACGGUCCAUUAUCAUACAGAAAGUUGAUGGGGGCCAUUGUGUAAUGAAUCAUGCUUUACUUUACUAAUUAUAUACUAGGAAUUAACUUGCCAUUGUGUAAUGAAUCAUGCUUUACUUUACUAAUUAUAUACUAGGAAUUAAUUUGCAUAUUAUGCGGGGUAAUAUUUUUUUAAUUAUCUUUAAAUUUAAUUUAAUUUUUUUGUUAAAUUAAAUUGGUGACAAAAGUUUUACCAAAAAAUAUAAAUAAAUAAAAUUAGUGACAAUUAGAUAACAAUACCUAUAUAAAUAUCACACGACCGAUAUUUACUUGUAUAUAUUAUUAUACGGUUUAAUUAUUAGUAGCUUUUUUAAAUAUGAAAGUGAUAUGAUAUUAAUAUAUAUAUAUAUACACUUAUAUACAUACCAACAUGGAUUAAAAUCUAAUAUAUAUAUAUAUAUUCAUAAAAUAAAAAUUUAAUUGUGAAUAUUUUAUUAAAGAUCAAACUAUCAUUUUUAGUGAAUAACUUAUAUAAUAUGUGUUAACAAUGAUUAUAUAUAGGAUUGUCAAAAUGGAAAAACCCGUCUACUUAAUAUAUUUUCACAAUUUACUAAACUAUUUUUUGGCCAACCCGUUAAAAAAAAUAUAAUUUAAAUUUUGAAAACAUAAUUUCAUUUUUUAUAUAAAUAAUUGAACUGAUUUUCGAAAACGAUACUAAAUAAUAAUGAAAAUACAAAUGAAAAAUAUUGCAAAAGUUUAAAUUUAUUUUUUUCAUAUAUAUGGAUUAAUUAUUAUUAAAAAUAAUAGAAUAUAUUUUAAUAUUUUAAUAAGUAAAGAAACUAAAUAUACUUUUGAUUUAUAUCCAUAUAUUUAAUUGAGCUUUUUAUAUUUAUAAAGUUUGUUUAAGUAAUAUCUUCUAAGUAAAGGUUUAUUUAUGUAAUAUCUUAUAAAUAAAUAUUUAUUUAUGUAAAAUAUUCUGUAAUAUCUUAUAAAUAAAAGUUUAUUUAUGAAAUGUUUACUCAAAUAAUAAUAUAGAGAUAAUAAUAUAGAGAUAUUGAGUCCAGGCAGUGAGCGGCUUAUUAUAUAGUGGUUUCUAUUUUCCAAUGGUUAAAGAACAUAGUACGUACUAACAACUAAAUUGCUGACAAAUAAAUAAUGAUUUUAAUUAUUAUGUGAUAUUACCAUUAUCAUGCAAAAGGUUCAUGGUUAAUAGGGCUGGAACGGAGCUGGAUAUCCGGACUUUUCAAAGUAUCCGGAUUCGGCUCCGGAUUUGACGGAUAAUCAAUUUUAUUAUCCGGAUCCGGAUCCGAAAACUCCGGAUAUCCGGAGACCGAAUAUCCGGUUUGAACCGAAGAUUUACGGAUAUCCGACCGGAUAUCCGGUUUCGUUGAUUUAAAAAAAAAACUUCAAUUUUUAAAAUUAUAAUGAGAUAACAUAUAUAAUUAAAAUGUAUCAUUAUAGCAAAAAUUACAAAUACCAAAAAUUUAAAAGCAUUCAAGUAACAUUCAAAUAGCACAAAGUUUAAAAGUUUACAUAGCAAAAGAGAAAAUAGUAAUAGAAGUUAAUUUAUCUUCAUAUCCUUGUGUUAACUAUUUUCAUGGUAUUCUCUCACAAUCUGAAAUAGAAAAUUAUCAUGCAAUAUCAAUUUCAAUCAUGUGUAAAAGAGUUAAACCAAAAACAAUUUUCAAACAUAAUUAAAACAAAAAAUUAAAUGCAUAUCCAAAGAUUUCAAAAUUUUCAAAAUCUUAAUAAACGGAUAACGGAUAACGGAUAUCCGAUUUUAAAAUUUUCUAUUAUCCGGAUCCGUAUCCGAAAUAACCGAAUACUUAAUUUAACUAUCCGGAUCCGGAUCCGAACUACACGAAUAUCCAGUUUUUACGGAUCGGAUAGGACCGGAUACCGGAUCGGAUAGGACCGGAUACCGGAUCGGAUAGUGGAUACCAAAUAAUAAUUCCAGCCCUAAUGGUUACCACUUAUAACAUGAUAUAUAAUCAAUAAAUGGGAUGUGGGUGCUAUGCGACGUACCUAAUUCACAGACAUUGUAAGUGAGCGGUUUAAGGUUUCUAUAGAGAGUGGUUAAUAGUGAAAAGAAAAUAGUACUAACAUAAAAUGCUAAUGAUUUUCUUUUUGCACAUGAAUAUAUAAUAGAAAAUUAGUGAUAUAUAUAUCGACAUAUAUGAAUUAGCAAAACUAUUAAAGUUUUAUUCAUAUACAUACAUAUAAUAUGAUAUCUAAUCAAUAAUGGGAUGUGGGUGCUAUGUGACAUACCUAAUUCAUAUACAUACAAUUUUAUUUUAUUUUUAACUUUUAAAAUUGUUUUACAUAUCUAUCUAUAUAUUUAUUUAUUUGCUUAUGUGUCGACUCCACAACGAAUUUCAGAAUAUUUUGCUUACGUGUCAGUUCUAUAAUGAAUUUCAGCUGCAAAACUAUUUUUUAACUCUAUUUUUUUAUUAUAUGUUAUUUUUUUUUAUAUACGUGAGAAUUUUUUUCUUAAAAACAAAACCACGCAGGUGAACCAGAAUACCGUGCCUAUAAAUUUGAUGAUAAAAAUGGAUUCCAUUCCAUAUCAAUGUUAGUGAACAUGGAAUCCAUAGCAGUUUUGGAACAUGGAUCUCAACUCUUUGUUCCUUCUCCUAACAACAUGUUUGUUUCAGUAGGCAAACUCUCUUGCUUUCCGCUGACGUCACUUCCAACUAAGCCUCGAAAGUUUGUUCGUUUGAAGGCAACUAAUACCCUGACUUGUGAUGAUCAAGAGAGCCUUCGCACGUUCAAGAAAUUGCUACCUUCUCCAUGGACUGAUCACUUCCACUCUGUUUCUGUCGAUGUCUCGGUAAGUCCAUAUUUAUAUAGCUGGUGUAUUAUAUAUAUAUUAGAGAAGGUUAACGCAUGUGUACAUGUUUUACUUUUAGGAAAUGGAUGCGCUUAGGAAAGAAAUCGAUGUACUAAAGCCGAAAGUGAAGAACAAACUCAUGUCUUCCCAUGGGAUCGACUCGACCAAGAAGAGAAUCCUUAUGAUAUAUUUGUUGGUGAGCCUUGGUGUUGCACAUCACUUUGAGGACGAGAUCGAUGAGACUCUAAAAGAAGGUUUUGAAAAGAUGGAGGAGAUGAUGGAUGAUGAAGAUGAUUUGUACACAGUUUCCAUCAUGUUCUGGGUUAUCAGGACAUACAAUCACUACAUAUCUUCCAGUAAGUGAUCAUAAUUCACGUUUGUAAAAGUUUAUGUUAUCUCUAAUUUAUCUGUAUAACAAGUCGGUCCGUUUUGGUCAAUAGAUAUCUUUACAAGAUUCAAAGGAGACAACGGAAACUUCAAAGAAUCGCUUAAAGGGGAUGCCAAGGGCAUCUUGAGCUUGUAUGAAGCUGCGCACUUGCGGACAACGAAGGAUUGUAUACUGGACGAAGCAUUGAGCUUUGCAUCAAACCAUUUGGAGUCAUUAGCUGCAAGUGGGACGUGCCCGCCUCAUCUCUCUAUGCGUAUACAAAAUGCUCUCACUCUAUCUCAGCGUUGGAACAUGGAGAUGGUAGCCGCUCUGGAAUAUAUAACUUCCUACGAACAAGAAAAAGAUCAUGACGGAAUGCUACUGAAGUUUGCUAAGCUCAGUUUCAAGUUAGUCCAGCUCCAGUACCUUCAAGAUCUUAAAAUCAUUACAAAGUACGUAAUCUCCUUAUUUACUAGUAUUUCUAGGGUUUCACUUACAAUCCUUCUAAGGAAGUUAUUCCAACCACGUACAUUUCCUUUUUUUCGACAAGAACUAAUUAUCUUAACUUGAAGAAACAUAUUCAGAAUGCAAUUUUUGGGUUAAUCAAAAAUUAAAGGUGGUUAAACACUUUCUAAAAAAGAAAAUAUUAUUUGGUGACGCUUUCUUAGCUAACAUAUCUAUAUCUUUGGGUCCAAAGAUGGUACAAGGAGCAAGAGUUUGCAUCUAAGUUCCCACCUUACUUCAGAGACAGAAUCGUGGAAAAUUAUUUCUUUGUGCUAGCGGUGUUCUUCCAGCCACAACUUUCACGUGCAAGGAUUAUGUGUACUCAGCUCUUUACCAUUUUGGAGAUUAUAGACGACACAUUCGACAGAUAUGCUUCUCUUCCUGAGGCUAAAAGCCUCGCAAAAUGCCUGGAAAGGUACACUCUAUAUGUAUUGAAAUUCCACAUAAACAGUAAUCAUGAUGGUGAUAAUUAACCACCAUGAUGAUGAGUAAUUAUGAUGAUGAUGUACAGGUGGGCUCCCGAUCAUGCCAUGGAUAAACAACCUGAUUAUCUGAAAUUAAUGUUGAACUUUAUAUUGGAUACUUUCGAAGGUUUUGAAAGAGAGCUUAGGGCAGAAGGAGAAACUGACAGUGUGAAAGCCACUAUAGAAGAGGUAACCUAUUAAAUUCUUAUAUUGUAAGUAUGAUAAGUUAAGGGUAAUGUAUAGCUUUGGAAUAUUUAUUAAAUGAAAUGAGCUCUCUGGAUUGAUAGUUUUUUAAGUGAAAAAAAUCAUGGGCAUUUCACUAUUUCAAAAUGAUUUUGAAAACCAACAUUUUGUAGUCGUAACGGUUUCAGAUUUUUUGAGCUUGCAGUUCAAGAUACUAGUAAAAUCCGAAUAUAUUUUUGCAAAAUGGGCACACGCGGUUCACGUGCCUAGCUUUGAGGAGUACAUGGAGGUUGGUACGGUGGAGAACGCGUCGCAUGCGGCUUUAGCAUGUUAUAUAAUGUGUCUAGGAAAGAUGGCUACGAAGGAAGAUUACGAGUGGCUAAAAUCCAGACCAACACUCGCCAUGUCUUUAUCCAUCAAAUUGCGUCUUGUGAAUGACAUAACCGGUUUCGAGGUAAGAAUAUGGAUAAUUUAUAUCUCCACAACUCGGAUAUAUGCUUUGUUCUAUCUUACAAAAUUACACAAACAUAAUUGAUUACAUUUGUUUUUUUGAUAAAAAUUGUUUGACUAGGAUGACAUGGGUAGGGGAUAUGUCAUGAAUGCGGUCAACUGUUAUAUGAAGCAAUAUGGAGUUACGAAACAAGAAGCUGUUAGGGAUCUUCUUAAAAUGGUUGCAGAUGCGGAUAAGGCAAUCAAUGAAGAAUUCUUGACGACGGUUAAUGUGUCACGUUUGUUUCUCAACGCAGCAAAGGGUUAUGCAAAAAUGAUCAGCAUCUGCUACAAUGGAUAUGAAGGAUUCACCCAUCCCGAAGUAAAAAUUAACGAGUAUAUGACUUCGUUGCUUGUCGAUCAGAUCCGUCUUUGAAGACUGACUUCAGAACAUGUUUAAGCCUGUAGCGCCAUGUCUUUGGUUUCUUCGGUCUACCGUCUACUUAGACCGAACGUCCUUAGAAUCAACAAGAAGCUUUUAAUAUAUGUUUUUGUGUGUUUGAAUAAGUAAAAAAUGCUAUACAAAUGUUACCAGAUUCAACCUUAACAAACAAACAAAAAAGAAACCGGUAACGGUUCAAAUCCCUUGCUAAUCAAAUUUGGUCUUGUUUCUCACCGUCCGUCUAUUUUGAGAGGUAAUAUAUAAGCAACUAAAAUAUAUAAGCUGAAGAUAAUUGUCCUCAUGAUUAGUGCCUUUGUUCCUUAUCUUAAUGACUUAUGAUGCAAGUAACCACUCUCCAAACAGUUUGCUAACAUUAGAACUAGGUAGGUCGUGCAGGCAAAUCUAUCUGUUUGAUCCUGUCUUAAUAUUUGGCAUGGUUUCAUGUCAACGAUAUUGGAAUAUUUUAACCGAUAUAUUUUUUCCUUUUUAGAGAAGAUGGAGUCAACAACACUUUGGGUUAUAUUAUAUUAUAUUAUACGUGCGAGUCAUGACUAAACUAGUCACCGACGUGCAACCCAUCCUGCUCCGUAUUUAAGUAUCAAUCAAUCUGUUUUAGCCUUUUGGCCAAUAUUGUCUUUUUCAAAUUCAUCCUCUCAGGCCAAACGAUCAUAAGAAAAAUGGCGGCAGAGGUUCUCAGCUUCAGGGACGAUAGUAGCCAAGAGGAUUGGCAUGACUUCGAGGUUCUGGGCCGAGGAGACGAGCCCAAGAUUCUGAUCAAGAAGACGAGUAUGCAAUCCGAAUCCGAGAGACAAAUCUCGGUUGAUCCGAAAUCGCUAUUGUCAAGAUCAAACUCGAGCUUCGACAUGAUAAUCUCACGUCCGAGAGACAUCAACGACGACAUGGUAUUGUCCCCUCAGCCGUUGGAUCAUCAAAUGACGAAGACCAAGUUUAUGAGCUGUAGCCUCCCAAACUCAGCAGCCACGUCACCAAGACAUAGCUCUUCGAGUCGUAAUUGGAAAGACAGAACCACGGAGCAAGUUCUUGACCUAAUGCUCGUUCAAGACGCUGCCGCUGCGUUUCGAAGAAGCAAAUCUUGCGGCGAAGGACGUGCUUUCACGCCUUCUCUCGAUUUCGACAUGCUAUUGCACAAAUCAAGUCAAACACAUCAUCAUAAUCAUAAUCAUCAUCAUCAUCAUCAUCAUCAUCAUCAGCAUGGAUUCUCUUCUUCUUCAAACGCCAAGAGUCUAUCUAACAAGAGUAGUGGAAACAACUCUUUCUUCUCAAAAACAGAGUCUAGCAAAAGCAACAGAAGCAAUAUCAAUACAGCGAACUCGAAAAGCAUAAGUUCAUUCGAAGACGGAUUCAAAUGCAGCGCCUUGUGUCUAUACUUACCAGGUUUCGGCAAAGGAAAACCAGUGAGAUCAUCUCGCAAAGGAGAUUCCUCGUUCACUAGAACCACGACAAUGACUUCUACACAAUCUAUGGCAAGAACCGUUUCCAUUAGAGACACUACGGUGCUCUCGGCUCGAGCGUCGCUAGAGCGGUUCGAGUGUGGUUCUUGGACCUCCUCGGCUAUGAUUUACGACGACAAUGCGGAUCUUGGUGGUCAUUUUUUCGAUUUGCCAUCGGAAUUGAUCAAAGGUGGUCAAGGAGGGAACGAUCAAGAUGAUCCUGUUUCAGCUGCUUUCGUGUUCGACAAGGAACCUAAUUUGGAGAAAGAAAUCAAAGGGGUUUUGAAGACUUCUGGUUCGAAAUCAAGAAGAUCUAUGGAGUCGCCACGUCACGUUCGGUUCUCAACUUCGUCGCCGGUUUCUUAUCCGACGUCUCCGACUCAUUCAAUCACGCCGCGUUUGUUACAAGCCACCGAAGAUUUCAGUAGUUUCUUGGAAGCUCAAGCCGUGUGAAUAAUUAAUUAAUGGGUGGGUUUAGCUAUUCUUUUUUUUCUUUUUUUUAAACGAAUGAAAUUAACUAAUUUUUUUUACAUUUUCUUGCUGAAAUUAGCAAUUCCCAUUCCAAAGUAUUAAAAAAUUUCCAUUGUAUAGAAACGAAUACACAAGAGGAAAUUAAAAGUGAAUUGAAUAACCUUUAACAAAAAAAAAAAGUGAAAGGAUCUUAAUUAUUUUACUCUUAUUUAUCUAUGGGAUGGAAACCUGCAAUUUCCAAUAUUAUUCUUUAAGCCAUGAACAGCACAAAGACAGACAAGUGGUUAUGACUUAUGACUUAUGACAUCCUGCUGGAUUUUUAGGAUUGAAAAAUUUGAUAAAAAAAAUACGACUUGACAUUAGAUAAAUUCAUUUAAUUUUUAAUUAAUGGAGUAUGUAAUAAAUUUUGUACCGUUUAUAUAAUUUUUAGAAACAAACAUAUAUUACGUUUGAUUUACAGUUUUUGAAUAAAAUUUUUGCAACAUUGGGUUGCAUCACUUUAACCGUAAAGACCACAUCAACCACAUUUAAUUUGCAGUGACUGAAAUAGUCUAAAAUAGACAGCAUUUCUUCAACAAACCUCCGUAACCAUUCCAAAUCUUAUCUUAUAUGAACCGACAGCAAAAUUGCUAUGUAAGAUGUACUGAACACUUUAUGGGGUUGAAUCUUAGAGGAACCUUUUUUUCACAUCAAGGAACCUUUUUUUAUUGGAGUAAAUAAACUCUGUGUUAUCAGAGAAUAUUGCAGCUACAGAGAUCAUGCAGCCUCGGCCACUUUGUAUUAAUAAUCUCGGUCAAUAUUAAAUGUAUAGCAAACAGACCAUCAAACAUUAAAUUGGACCAAUGUUUUGACGUGAUACAUGGCAUACAUAUAUAUGCACACGUAUACAGUGUACAUUGUAUUCAUAACCCGUACGUUACCAUCAAUAGUUACUACAUUUUGUUUCAGGGAAAAAAAAAACAGAAAUGUUUUGAAAAUAUUGAUGUAGAAAUCAGGAAAUGGUAGGGUUCUUGAAUGUGAUAUAAUUAGCUUACAUGAUGCUUUUGUGACCGUACCGUCGGUGAGCAUCCUUAAUCCAUCAAAUCCUAAAAUCCUGUAAUAUUUGUUGGUGUUUUCUAUAUAUAUAUAUAUAUAUAUAUAUGGUUAAGUUUGAACUCGCAUCUAAAUUUAUUUCAUCAACGUUUCCAUGGUUCCAAACACCAAAAGUCAAAUUUUAUAUAUUUAGUAAUCAAUAUUAGCCUUUUGCAUGUCAUGAUGGAAAUACAUAUAUCUACCUAACAAGUAACAAUUAAAAUUAAACAAAAGCAAUGACGAUGUAAAUCUAUUUCAAAGUGAAUCGUUAAGAAAAUGAUUGUGUAGGUCCAGACGUAAAUCUCUGUGAUUUUUUUUUUACACCGCAUAUAUAAGCAAAAGAAGAAAAAAAAAACAAAAUUAAUUUAGGAAAAUAUAUAGUCAUAUGGUAAUGGAACACUUGUAAUCUAGUGCAACCAACGACCACUUUCUAGCCUACUUGCGAGAUUUAACAACCACGAAACGAUGGGUCCCAUAUGUUCCUUCUACGUAGGACCUACACGUUUAGGCCCAUUCGGUGGUCGUCAAGAAAAGGCGUAAACGCACGUUCCUGACCUCCAAAAAAGCAAAAGCUAUCUUCUUUUGUCGUUAAUUAAUACAAGUAUACAACAAACUAGAUUAAACCAAAAAUAUUAAUUACCGCAAUUAUUCCCACUAGUUUAUAUACUUUAAAAGAGACCUUAAAUCUCUAAUCCAUACAGAAUAUAUGCCAAUAGUUUAUGAACCCAUACCCAAACGAUGAUACAAAUAAAAGAAUACCCCAAAAGACAAACAAUAAAGUAAAAACACCUGCCCCAAUAUUUGAUAACUUCUAAUUUCUUUCUAAAAGAGGAAAUACAUUCACUAUCUUCAUUUCUUCCUAUAUACUAGUCUCAUUGCCGAGUCCGAAGCAGCCGGUCACCGAUCGUUCUCAUCUCGAACGUCUUCACGGCGAGGCCAACGUCGCGGAUCGUAGUGUCGAGCACGUAAGGAUUGUUCUCGAAAACAACUCUAGAAUCAUUGAAAAGGUUACGGCAAGGCUCACGUCGCUGAGAUAUCGAGCCGUGGUAAUGGAAGUAACGGAUUUUGCUCUCGGCCUUGUGGUAUGUUUUCCCUUGCAGGUUCUGAGACAUGUGGACUCCCGUCGCGAAUACAUUACUCGGCUGGACCGCGUACUUACGGUCUCGUCUUGGAACUUUCUUGACGUCUCUAUAUGCCAGUUUCUCAAAUCCCCAUUUCCUGGUCAACAUUAAAGGAGAAAGCAUUUUAGAGAUCAAAUCAGUCUCAGUCCCUGACAUAUAGAGGCUUAGCCAAAAGAACAUACCAAACUAUAAUUUGAGGAAUCCUAAGCACGUAUUAAAAUUGACAUUUUUAUAAUUUGAGGAAUCAGAAUUUAGAAUAAUUGAAACAUUUAUCACACACUCAAAUCAUGUGAUGUGAAAGAGAAGCAAAGAUCUGGACCGACAUGGGAGACUAAUACGGAAUGCGCAAAGACUUUUGCAGGCCAAGUGUUGACAGAAUCAGAUGCUUUGUUGUUGUAUAUUAUUAUAUAUUCCAAAAAAGCCAAUCAAGAAACUUGUGAUUAUAUUCUAAGUUACUCAACACAUGGGUUUUGGUUAAAGUUCAAUCAUUAAAAAUUCGACAAAGUCACGAGGGAAAAGAAAAAAUAAACCAGAUUAACAACCUAACCACGGUUUCUUGUUAGCAAUAAUCUAAUUAAUUCACGGACACAUUAAUUAACCUUAAAUAUUACGAGAUUAAGGUUCUUACCUGUAUGUUCUUGCCGGACCAUCACCGGAGUAACAGAGCUUGCUACUCAUAGGCAUCUGCUCAAUAGUAAACUGAGAAUAUUCCUCCAAAGAUUCCAUAACCGACGAGAUCGAGUUAUUGGCCGGAACAUAGAUAAACUCAUCGACGUCGAAGAAGAAAAUCCACUUGGCCGAGAAUCUAUACCUAUGCAAGCAAUCAUUCACAACCAUGAACUGAUUAUGAUAAUACCCAUCGAACCUCUCCUGGUCUCUGAUAUCGUGCACCGUCACGUGCCCGAGCUCAAUCCACGGCCGUAAAACCUCGAACACUUCCUCGUGAAUCCCUCCGGCGUCGUGAAGCACGAAAUGCGACCGUUCGCCGAAGAAUCUCACGUGGUAAGCGAUCCACUCUCUCACUCUCUGAGGACUCAAGUUUCCGUACAGAGACGAGCCGCAAUAGAGGUAAUCGUACUUUUUGCGACGAGAUUUGGAGCUGUAGAGCUCGAAAUCGACGGAGUUUGGGGAUUCCGACAGGACCGGGAUCGAGUCGGUGAGGUUUCGGUCUGGAUCUCCGGUGGUUGCGUGGAGGAUGAGGUUUCCGCCGGAGUUUUCGGGGUUAACGGCGGAGAUUGAAGAGAAAGUGCAGUUGACGACGACGGUGGUGUAGAUCCGUCCGUAUCCCCAAUCGGUUAGGAUUUUAAACCCGUCUGUGGAAAUCGGGUCGUGAGUCGGGUCGAGAGGGACCCACUCGCAUCGGUACGAAGGAUGGCCGUACACGUGGAGGGGUUUCGACGAUAGGCCGAUGACGGCGAAAGAGUUAACGCCGCCUCUGUAAGCGCUCAUCGAGACGAAGUUGUAAGCUGCAGAGCCGUAGCCAGUAAACGACCGUUUGAUAACGCCGUUAUCCAAAACUCGAUCUGUUUCCGUCGUGUUUUCCGGUGACUGUUCCACGGCGGUGGAUGUAGUGGUGUUGACGGGAACGGCGGCGGAGGAGGAGAAGCGUGAGAUGCAGAAGCGGAAAUCGGAGGCGGAGAGAGAGAAUGAAGAAGGUAUGAAAGGUAAGAGAGUGGCUAAAGUGAAGAUAACGAGUAACGCCAUGAAAAUGAGCUUGAGCUCGGUGGAGAAGUUCCAUAUGACGCCGACGAGGAGCUUCUUCUCCUUAACAGGGAUUUGCUCUUUCUCUUUAGUGACCAUGGCGGUUGAAUCUUCUCUUCUUCAGUGCUGGAUCUGAGUCUCUCGAAUCAGAGAAGAGGAUGAAAAAAAAGGAAGAAGAAGAAGGUGAUAGAUUCUUUCUCCCAAUGUCUCUCUCUCUAUCAACGAGUCGGCGAGUCGAGUCGCUUUCUAAUUCUACACCUGUUCUUGUUUGUCUUGUUACCUGCGGCUGCGUUUAUAUUUUAAUGUUUUUUAAAAACAAAUUCGGGAAUAUGUAAAUUUCUUUGAUAUUUCCCGAAUUUGCUAUUUUUUAUUUUAGGAAGGGGUGUUAAUUUCCUUUUCCAAUCUUCGUAUUUUUGUAACAGAGAAGGGCUAAUGAAAACAACUUAUGAACAUCACUACUAAAAUAAAAUUAGACAAAACACUGAAUCUAUCAUUAGAGCAGCAAAACAUUCCUAUGCAGAGACAGUUUUUUAGCAGUUAGUUUUUAUAUUUAUUUUUUUCGUUUAGCAAAGCGUCUCUUUUUAAAUCAGAUUUCUCCGUUUAGCUCGAUCGAAUUAUUUUUAUAUAUAAUAGUAUAGAGAUCUAUAUAUAUUUAGAAGGUUUUUUUACUACAUUAUUUGUAUUUCCAAUAAAGACAUUUGUAAUCUCUGCGAAUGAUCCUAUUUCUUAUUUCUGUAUUACUUUGACUUGCAGACGUCACAAAGGAAACCGUAUAGUGAAGGGAAGGGAAGGUCAAAAAAAGGAUAUUGAGAAUGUGUUUCGUAAUAAUUAUUUUUUCUUCUAUUGGUCAGAAGAAAAGAAAAAAAAAGGAAAGACAGAUUGAACAAUUAUGCUACUAUUGGAUUGAGUACAAAUUAAAAAGAUAAAUGACUACCAACUAUAGAUUCCCAUGUGUUGUAUUAUAUAACUGUGAAAUCAAAAUCAAAAUGGUUCAUGAUAAUUAAUAAUGCGUCUGGAAACAAUUACUACUAUUGCUUAACAUUGGACAUGUGCUAAACGCCAAAGUCAUAAUUUUCUAUUUUCAACUGCCAAAAUCAUCGAUUAACAACAAAAGUAUUUUAUAUCCAACAAACAAUACAAAAUGCUACUGGUAUACUGUAUACAGCAUUCUCAAAUGAGUUGUAUCGUUUUUGUCGUUUUAAAUUACCACUAUUUUAUAGUUUUGGUUUUACCGGUUGGAGUUUCUUAAUCCCUAAUUUUUUUUUGAAGAAAUAGUUCGAACUUUUGAAGGUGAUAGAAAUUUCGUACAAGAAAAAUGAAUUACGACGACUUUGUCUUACCAUAUAGUGUAUUUUGUAAAGUUUGCAGUAUCGCCGUUUCGUUAUAGGAUUCCAACAUCUGUGGGAGACGUGGCGCUCUUUCCAGAACCCACCUGUCCGUUUCGCCAACGUGUCUUUAUUGCUUGGCUUCCCUCCAACGUUUCCAAUUGCCUUUUCCUUCAUUUUCCUUUAUUGUUUUUUUUAACAUCUGAUUUUUUGGCUUCUCGUUCAUUUAUUUUAACCGGAAAAGAGAGAAAAAAAAAAAGAACUUUCCGAAGCUCAGAAAACGGUCAACAAUAAUUUUGUUUAAUUUUUCAGCAACAAUAAUUUUCUUACAUCCCCAAAGACAACUUGUUUUUUUUUUUUAAUAUUUCCAAAGACAACGAAUUUUUUUUUUUAAUAUCUCCAAAGACAACGAGUUUUUUUUUUAAUAUCUCCAAAAACUCAUUACUAUUCUCUUUCAUUUACUCUUAGUUUUUGUUCAAUAAGUUGAUUCCAUCCAUAUUCAUAUCAAUAUCGGUUUAACAUUCUUAAUAACAUUCAUUAAUUAUAUAUAUAUAUAUAUAUUAGUUUUUUUUAUAUUUUUUUGAUAAUCAAUUAGCUUUCAAAAUUUCUUAUAUACUAUUUAUUUUGGCUAUGGUGAAAUUAAGUAUUGUUACAAUUUUAAAAAAAUUUAAACAUAAAUUGUUCAUGUGCAUCCUGUAAAUUGCAAGGACAAGUGAAACUCCAGCUCGGAUCCGUGUUGAUGCCUUGCGCUUCCAGAUGACAUAUCACUCCUAAUUUCUAACAUGUCUUCCAUUAAUAUCUCUUAUAUCAUAAUUAAGAGUCCUCAUAUCCUACUAUUUUUAGUCUAAAGUAUAAAAUUGGGUUUAAGAUAAUCUGCACGAUAUCUAAUCUUUCAUUUACUACCUAACUCAUUAGAGAUUUAUUUUUAACAACCUAAUAUGACCAGUUGAUGCGUACUGGUUAAAUUGGCCUAAAAAAUUAUAAAGAAGAAACUACCUUUGAGUUUUAUAUUUUAAAUUAUGGCCGUGUGCAAUGCAAAGUAUUGGCGAAUUAUUCCACGCACAAGCCAUAUGAUGAAUAAGUGUUGGAACUAUUUUGUAACAACCUCAAUAUGGCAAACACAUGAAGGCAACAAAAAGGGUGUUUAUUUGUAAGUAUAUUCAGAUGUGUCAGAGUCACAUUCCAAAUCAAUGGAGAAGUUAUAAUAUUUGUUUGGGUUCAUGAAUCCUAAGAAUCAAGAAAAGCUCUCACAACGUCGACGAUUGGAGCCAUACAAAUCGGACAUUUCUUACUGCUCCAUUGCAAUUCAUGAGCACAUUUCAGACACGUGCACAUAUGUCCGCACCUGCAGAGACAAUCAAGACCGCUGGUUACUAUUUUAGCGUUUGCGAUUUGAAAUCCAGAUCUAGCAAACGCACUUACCUAUAAAGGAGCGAGUCAACAGGCAUCUCUAAGCAAACGCAACACUUUCGUUUCAGUGGAUCUUUCUUUGUAUCUACUCGUUGUUCUCCGGAUGACCCUAAAAGAUUAUUCAUUAGCUUUGAUUUCUUGAAAUGAAAUUUUUUAUAACGUUAAUGUGAUGAUAAUAAAACUAACCAGAACGAGAAAGAUCUUGCGUUACAGAUUUCUGGAAAUGAAGUUGCAUAUCAACGCAGGAUUUAACCGUAUUUCGUAGCUCGAGCAUUUCUCGUUGAAGCUUCUCCAUUUGUACCUUGAGAUCACUGAUCAUCUGCAUUUCCUGUGUCUGUUAAGUGUAAGAUCUUAGUUUACUUCACCAACACGUAACCUAACUUGUCCGGGAAAAUAAGAGCAAGAACAAUAUUGCCUAAACUCACAGAUUGAUCUGUCUGGACUGAAGGUUCAGGAAGAGACAAAGACGUUGUCGGUUCGUAAUCCUUGUCGAUGUCUUGGUCCCUGAAACUCCACGACAUCAACAACGUACUACUUCUUGCUGAUGAUUGGCUGCAACCGUCACUAGCAGCCUCAAGAUUUGUCUUCUCUGGUUCUUCCUCUGUUUCCUUAUCUUCUUGGUUCCUUGCUGAACACUCUUCAACCCACUCUUCUUCUUCUUCUUCUUCAUCGUCAUCAUCAUCAUCAUAUUCCUGUUUUUGAUUGAUUGGUACGCCUAAAUGGCUUUGCACACGAGUAAUCAUCAAAUUGUCGAUCUUUUGUCGCAAAUCACUCGUCAAAAAGUUGGAAACUGUUCGGCUGCGCAGCGAUAAGCAAAUAACAUUACAAUCUCAAUUAGUUAAGGUGAAUAUCUUUUAGAGGAUUUUGAUGAGUGAUCAUAGAUAUAUACCUCUCAAUGAGAUUGCAAAUAUCUUUCUUCUCUGAUUCAGUGUUGAGAACCUCAAGAUACCUUUCUUUCCUUAAUUCUUCCCAGUAACUUCUAGGCCGCGAUAUAUCGUUAAUCCAGUCAUAUGAAUUCUCUCCAUUGUAAUGAUCAUAAUCUCCAUAUUCUUCUUCUUCUAGGUCUUCCAUUUCAUCUUCAUCCCAAUCAUUUACAAACUCCAUUGCUGUUUCUUCCACUUUGUGUUCUUCCUUCUUGGUUUCUUCAUCCUCUAAGUCUUUAGUGCCGUUUCCGUCAUUUGAAUUUGGCAGAAUCGACAUUUCUUCAUCCUGCUGUAAGGAAUUCUUAUCUGUAGUCCUCUCUCUAGAGGCGUCACUUGCAGAUUCUUCUUCUGUUCUAGUAGACUUAGCUUCUGGUUUUCGCAGAAUCGACAUUUCUCCACUGUGUUGUGAAGAGUCAAUCUCUUUAGCUCUCUCUCGGGAGAUGUGACUCACAGUUUCUUCUGCUGGUAAAACGUCUUGAGGAUUCACGCAUUUCACCUCAACAAUAUCUUUUUGGGACUUAGCUUCUACAGAACCAAAAUCUUCCUCUUUCUUUCUUCUUUCUUUCUCUUCAGUCUCACACUGCGUAGAGAGUUCUCUACUACUACUCUGUUUUGUAUCCAUCAUUUCAUUGUUUUCAACUACUUUCUCCACUGUUUCCUUUGAAGUAGUUAUGCUUCUCUCUGCUGUUUCGACAUUAGUAAUUCUUCUUGAAGCUUCUUGCAACACUUGAUUUGUCUCUGUAUUAGCUUUGCCUUCGGUUUUACCUUUUCCUUUCUCCAUGAAUCUUCUCCUAUUCUUUUUCUCCUUGGAGUUCCACAGAUUCACCUUCUCAGCUAUUCCCAUCAAAGUGUUUUCUUCUACGCUUUCCUCAACUUCUCGCUUCUCCCCUCUUCCUUCUCUACUUUCCUUCUCAACAGGUUUCUUUAAACCAUUCUUACUGUCUGAAGUUUUACUCAAGUCACUCUUCACGGUUGUUUCCUGCAAAACCUUUUCCUCUGUAGCCGGUUUACGCAAAAAAUUAUCUGAUUUUGAAGUAACUUCUUGAGGACUUCUGUUUCUAACCUCAAUCUCUUUGGACUUUGUUUCUACAGAAACACAAUCUUCCUUGUUCUUUCCUCUUACUACUUUCUCUCCAAACUCACAUCGUGGCGUCAUCAUUUCCUUUGAAGUAAUAAUGCUUCUUUCCGCACUUUCGACAUCACUGAUUCUUCUUGAAGCUUCUUCCAAAAUAUCCUUCUCAACUCUCACUAUAUUAGCUUUGCUUUCAGCUUUACCUUUCUCCAUCCCUCUUCCCAUAUUCAUUUUCUCCUCUGAGUUCCAUAGAUUCACCUUCUCAGCUAUUCCAACCAAAGCAUUCCCUUUUAUACUUUCUUUAGGAAUAGCUUUCUCCUUCAUCUCUUGCUUCUCGCCUCUCCCUUUUGUAGUUUCUUUCUGAAUGGUUUCUCCUGCAGAAUUCCUUAAACUACUCUUAUUCUCUGGACUUUCACUUAAAACAGCUUUCCUUGUAGUUUCCUUCGCGAUAGCUUUCUCCUUCGUUUCUCGCUUUUCGCAGCUACCUUGUGCAGUUUCCUUCUGAACAGUUUCUCCUGCAGAUUUCCUUAAACCGCUCUUAUUCUCUGCAUUUUCACUCGAAACAGCUUUCUUGGCGAUUUCAACCACAGAAUCGCUCUUCUCUAUAGCUUCCUUCUUCUCUGUAGCCUUACGAGGAUCUUUAUCCAAAAGCCGACCCCGAGAAGACACAGAACUAGACGAAGCUCCAGUCUCAGCAUUGUCAGAGUUUGUCUUAUAUUUCUCCCUGCAUUUCAUUUCAUUUCAUUACUUUAGCUUCACUAAUAUCUCCCCAAAAACUGCUAGUAGAAAACAUCAAAUUUACCUGAGAAGAUGCAUCACACCAGACCCUCUUGGCGACCGGUUUAAAUCAGAUCCUGAUGAUGAUGGUCUAGACCGAUUUCUAUCUUGAAUCGCAAUGCACCUUUCGUAACAUCGAAUCCUAAGCGUCGACUACAACAAAACACAAAGCAAUAACAUUUUUUUAGACCUAACAAACCCUAAAACCUGUCUAGAUUAGAGAUCAAGAAGCAAUUAUAUAUACCUGAAUCCGCCCGCGAUGCGUGAACUUCGAAACACUAUGUCGUUCUGAUAAACAAGCCAGUUCCUUUUCUCGAUCGCGCGUCAUCUGAACCAAUAGUUCUGCAAAUGCUUGUCUCCCUCUAAUCCUUGGGGAACAAGCAACUUGAGGAAAACAUCUCGCUUCUGUUGUCUGAGCUUCUUUAGCAUUGUCGUUGCUGCUGCUUCCAUUGUCGUUAUUCGCCAUUGUUUCUGAGUCGGUGCUUAGUUUCCGGAUAAUAUCCAUAACUCUUACCCCUUCUCUUUCUUUCUCUCCAGAAUCUGGAGGUGGAGGAACAAUUUGUGAAUCACAUUCCAUCUCUUCUUCUUCUUCUUCCUCUUCAUUGUUACCUUCCUCGAUGGUUUGAAUCAAUUCGGAUUCCUCGUUGAGAGACUCCGAAUUCUCUAAAACGUUUGAUCCUGAAGAACUCGUUCUGCUAUCGAUUUGGGAUUGGUUUUGGUUCGAGCUCGGUGGUUGCUGCGUUGUCCUCGCCUCCCAUAUCUGAACCAGAGAAGAAGCCGCCAUGGUUUCGUUUCUCGACGAAUUCUUACCGGGUUGACCCGAAAUAGGUAAAUUCAGAUCCGGGUCGGAUCCUAGAGAAGACGAUGAUGGGACUUCUUCUUCGUGCCGAGAUUCCUCUGUUUUCGAGAGCCGAUGGUCUGAAACAGAGGAAGAAUCCGGAACCGUUUUGGUGGAACCAUCAACAUUCUCACCAGAGACGCUGCAGUUUUCGAGAUGAUCUCUGACAAAAACAUUGAGAUUCUUCUCGAAGGCAACGUGUAUGUUUCGGACAUUGUUGUUGUUGUUGUUCUGGUUCUUCUUUUUGUUGUUGUCUCCUCGGAGGCAUCUCUCGUGAGGGCUCAAUACGCAAUUAAAACUCUGGCAUGAGGAAAUUUCUACCUCAGAGGACGCCAUUUCCAUCAACACUAAUAUCAAAAACACAAAUCCUAUUUAAUCGGAUCUUUCUCUGUAAUAUGUUUUUUUUUUUUGAUAAAAAAAUUAAUGGUCUGUUUCUAAUUUCUUGAUCCCUUCUGGGGAAGAAGAACAAGAGCAUCGAAACAGAUAAAACCCCAUUUGAUGAUGAUGGAGAUUUUCGAACACAAACACGAAAGUUUUGAUUGACAAGAGGAAAGCGAAGAGACAAAACAGGGGAAAGCGAAGAGACGGAGCCCGAAACAGAGCAAUGGAGAAAAAAAGGCUGAGAAGAAAAAUUAAAAGUCCUGCUGUUUUUCUCUAUUCUUCUUCUGUUUUUUUUAAAAAAGAUUUGAUAUUAUUAAAAUCCACCGAUAUUAUUUAGGGAAAUAAUAUUACUACCUUUAGGAAAAAAAUCCAAAUAAGUUGUAACUUUGAAAACUAAAAAAAAAAAGUUAUAAGAGAGACAUUUUAGCCCAAAAAAGAGAGAGAAAGACAGUGUCAAAGAAAGAGGGAGAGCAUAAUUAUGGCAUUCUCUAAAUGGGAGUUGACUCGCCUUUAAUUGAUACAGUUUCUUUUUUAUUUCAAAUUUACUGGUAACAUUAGAGGUAUUUCUAGUUAAACACUUUUAUUAAUCAAUUAAUUGGACAUGAAUCUGGAUAUAACUUGUUUUUGGGGAGAAGAAUCUGGAUAUACUUAAUGAUCAGUGUUAUUGGAUUAUCUUUCACAAAAGAUUAAGUGCUGUGUAGAUAUAACUUGUUUUUGGGGAGCAGAAUCUGGAUAUACUUAAUGAUUAGUGCUAUUGUAUUAUAAUAUUUCAAAAAAAAAAUAGUGUUAUGUAAAAGAUAAUUUUUCCAACUCACAUAUUAAUUACACAUUUACAUGUAACAAAAUAUGAGCCAUUAUCUUUUUUUUUUUUUACAAAAGGGUUAAAAUAUGAGCCAUUAUCAUGAUUAUGAAAUCAACAUUAAGAUAAACCAUUCUAUUUCUCUUUCUUAUAUACUGUAUAAUUUUAUGAAUUAUAGUAUCAAAUAAACGUUCCACUUAUUGUAUAUGGUAACUCAAAGGAAUAUUUUUUAGUCUUUGACGCGUGUGAUUGAUACUACUUUUUUUGGGUACUUUUUUUUCUUCAAGUUCAUGACACUAUUAGGUGGAUUUACUAAAAUCAAAUAUUCUGGGUGAUUUUUUAAAAAAUGAAUAAUAGGUAACUAUUUUUGUAGUCUUUGACUAGCGAAAUUUGGAGUUUUACAUCUGGGGUCAAACUCUGUUCCAAUUAAUGAAUUUAACUAAAUUUCGGUAAAUAGAGUUUUGACGGUAGCUCAAGUCUAAUUGGGAUUUCGUAGUUUUAAUCAUCGCUAAAACACUACUACUUUAGCUCCUUCUGUUCAGACUUACUAACAUUUUCAAAAUUUUAUUUAUUUUUACACUGUAUAAAUUUUAGAAGUCUCUAAUCAUCAAUAAUCUCCACCAGAAACCAACUUCUGAUAGUAUCAUGUUGAAGGCGUAGAUUAUAACACUUCAAUGAAAUUAAACUAGUAAUUUUAAAACUAGUACUUAUCAACGGUUGAUAUAAAUAAAAAUUAGUUUAUGUCGAGUUUGGAAUUUCCAACAAUUUCCAUACUUACUGGGUUGGCUUAAACAUUUAUUUCUAAGAACCCAAGAUUCAUUUCUAAAUAUAUGACUAUAAAUAUUCAACCAAGAUACCUGUCUAAUUAUGGGAUUAUGCUUUUAAAUUUUAAUUUCAAAGAGUGGUGACUAGAUUUUUUUUUUUUAACAAUACAUUAUACAAGUUUGGAUGUGAUUAUUAUCACAAAUGAAUAGUUUUGAAGUUUGAAACGAAUGACUAAUCUCUAGAAUUAGUUGUUCUAAGUUUGAGGUUUUGGGCUCU
rnacentral:lncRNA from 1 species